UUGCUCCUCAAGUGUUCCCCAAGCCUGGUGGCUGAGGGAGCAAUAAUUAAAUGGCAGUGUAGAAGCUGAAUUGCCACCCACGGCGUCACUAUUAUAGUUGGGUUAUUAAUUAAAACAUAACUGGCAGGGGCCUCCUCCGCACAGGGAAUCAUUAUGUGCUUCUUUUUCAGGCCAUUGUCACCAAAUAUGAAAACGACAUCUUACACGGUGAGCGUUCUCAGAACUGCUUGGUGACGUCAGCUUGAAUUGUUGCCCAGGCUGUAUGGACACUCAGUGCUCAAGAUUUUGUGAGACACGAAGCCGUCUGCUGCCGUUCCCCCGUGGCUGCCCAUCCUUACCUGCUGUGGCCGUCUGCUCUUGGGUUAUG
rnacentral:lncRNA from 1 species